AGUGGCGGACGGGUGAGUAACGCGUGAGAAUCUGCCUUCAGGAUGGGGACAACAGUUGGAAACGACUGCUAAUACCCAAUAUGCCUACGGGUGAAACUUUUUUGGCCUGAAGAUGAGCUCGCGUCUGAUUAGCUAGUUGGUGGUGUAAUGGACUACCAAGGCGACGAUCAGUAGCUGGUCUGAGAGGAUGAGCAGCCACACUGGGACUGAGACACGGCCCAGACUCCUACGGGAGGCAGCAGUGGGGAAUUUUCCGCAAUGGGCGAAAGCCUGACGGAGCAAUACCGCGUGAGGGAGGAAGGUUUUUGGAUUGUAAACCUCUUUUCUCAGGGAAGAAUUUUGACGGUACCUGAGGAAUAAGCACCGGCUAACUCCGUGCCAGCAGCCGCGGUAAUACGGAGGGUGCAAGCGU
rnacentral:rRNA from 1 species